GCCGAACCGUGCGAACGUUGUUCGGAAUCACUGGGCUUAAAGGGCGCGUAGGCGGGCCAUAAAGUCAGGGGUGAAAUCCUCCAGCUUAACUGGAGAACUGCCUUUGAUACUGAUGGUCUCGAGUAAGGUAGGGGCAUGCGGAACUGAUGGUGGAGCGGUGAAAUGUGUUGAUAUCAUCAGGAACUCCGGUGGCGAAGGCGGCAUGCUGGACCUUCACUGACGCUGAGGCGCGAAAGCUAGGGUAGCGAACGGG
rnacentral:rRNA from 1 species